UACGGGGGGGGCAAGCGUUGUUCGGAAUUACUGGGCGUAAAGGGCUCGUAGGCGGCCAACUAAGUCAUACGUGAAAUCCCUCGGCUUAACCGGGGAACUGCGUCUGAUACUGGAUGGCUUGAGUUCGGGAGAGGGAUGCGGAAUUCCAGGUGUAGCGGUGAAAUGCGCAGAUAUCGGGAGGAACACCGGUGGCGAAGGCGGUUCUCUGGGCCUUACCUGACGCUGAGGAGCGAAAGCGUGGGGAGCAAACAGG
rnacentral:rRNA from 1 species